GAUGAACGCUGGCGGCGUGCCUAACACAUGCAAGUCGAACGGGGUGCAGUUGGUGCUUGCACCAACUGCACCUAGUGGCGGACGGGCGAGUAACACGUGGAUAACCCGCCGAUAUCAAGGGGAUAACUGUGAGAAAUCACAACUCAAACCCUAUAAGCCUACAAAACCCGCCCGGGGUGGUGAGAAAAUAUUUAUAGGCUAUUGAGGGGUCCGCGUCUGAUUAGCUAGUUGGCGGGGUAACGGCUCACCAAGGCGACGAUCAGUAGCCGGCCUGAGAGGGUGAACGGCCACAUUGGGACUGAGACACGGCCCAAGCUCCUACGGGAGGCAGCAGUGGGGAAUAUUGCGCAAUGGGGGAAACCCUGACGCAGCAACGCCGCGUGAAGGACGAAGGCCCUCGGGUUGUAAACUUCUAUCGAUGGGGAAGAAAAAAUGACGGUACCCAAGUAAGAAGCCCCGGCUAACUACGUGCCAGCCGCCGCAGU
rnacentral:rRNA from 1 species